GGAUGGUGUUGAACUGCAUUGGCGAUGACGUCCCACUGGAAGAUGCCCUUUGUUUCUUGCUUGCGCGAUCAGCCAUUGCAGGAUUCUUAGGGUUUUGAGAGGGAGAUUAAUGUUGGAAGGGUACUUGCAGAACUUGAACGUUGGGUAGUUAAGUACACAAAACCUGAAGUGAGGGACGUGGGGACACAACGUUGAAGAGUGGGUAGUUAUAUGGAUGCAGCACGCG
rnacentral:lncRNA from 1 species